rnacentral:rRNA from 1 species
UACGGGGGGGGGCAAGCGUUGUUCGGAAUUACUGGGCGUAAAGGGCUCGUAGGCGGCCAACUAAGUCAGACGUGAAAUCCCUCGGCUUAACCGGGGAACUGCGUCUGAUACUGGAUGGCUAGAGGUUGGGAGAGGGAUGCGGAAUUCCAGGUGUAGCGGUGAAAUGCGUAGAUAUCUGGAGGAACACCGGUGGCGAAGGCGGCAUCCUGGACCAAUUCUGACGCUGAGGAGCGAAAAGCCAGGGGGAGCAAACGGG